AGGGCCCCUCCUCAAUCCUGU
rnacentral:miRNA from 1 species